GACGAACGCUGGCGGCGUGCCUAAUACAUGCAAGUCGGACGCAGUUGCGAACGGGUGAGUAACGCGUAGGUAACUACCUAUUAGAGGGGGAUAACUAUUGGAAACGAUAGCUAAUACCGCCUACUAGUUGAUGGAUCUGCGUUGUAUUAGCUAGUAGGUUGGGUAAUGGCCUACCUAGGCAACGAUACAUAGGCGAACUGGGGAGGGGGACGGGCCAACUGGUACUGAGACACGGGCCAGACUCCUUCCGGGAGCAGCAGUAGGGGAAUUUUGGGAAUGGGGGGAAACCUGAACGGGCAACGCCGGGUGGGUUGAGAAGGGUUUCGGGACGGUAAGCUCUGUUGUUUAGGGAGCGGUACUUAACCAGAAAGGGACGGCUAACUACGUGCCAGCAGCCGCGGUAAUAC
rnacentral:rRNA from 1 species